rnacentral:rRNA from 1 species
AUGCAAGUCGAACGAUUAAAGCUCCCUUCGGGGAGUGCAUAAAGUGGCGCACGGGUGAGUAACACGUAAGUAAUCUACCUUCGAGUGGGGAAUAACGUUCGGAAACGAACGCUAAUACCGCAUAAUGCAGCGGCAUCGCAAGAUGACAGUUGUUAAAGGAGCAAUCCGCUUGAAGAGGAGCUUGCGGCAGAUUAGGUAGUUGGUAAGGUAAUGGCUUACCAAGCCUGCGAUCUGUAUCCGGUCUAAGAGGACGGUCGGACACACUGACACUGAAUAACGGGUCAGACUCCUACGGGAGGCAGCAGUCGGGAAUUUUGGGCAAUGGGCGAAAGCCUGACCCAGCAACGCCGCGUGAAGGAUGAAGUAUUUCGGUAUGUAAACUUCGAAAGAAUGGGAAGAAUAAAUGACGGUACCAUUUAUAAGCUCCGGCUAACUACGUGCCAGCAGCCGCGGUAAUACGUAGGGAGCAAGCGUUGUUCGGAUUUACUGGGCGUAAAGGGCGCGUAGGCGGCGUGUCAAGUCAAUUGUGAAAUCUCCGGGCUUAACUCGGAACGGUCAAUUGAUACUGUCAUGCUAGAGUGCAGAAAAGGCAAUCGGAAUUCUUGGUGUAGCGGUGAAAUGCGUAGAUAUCAAGAGGAACACCUGAGGCGAAGGCGGGUUGCUAGGCUGACACUGACGCUGAGGCGCGAAAGCCAGGGGAGCAAACGGGAUUAGAUACCCCGGUAGUCCUGGCCCUAAACGAUGAAUACUUGGUGUCUGGAGUUAUUAUCGCUCCGGGUGCCGUCGCUAA